AGUGAACGCUGGCGGUAGGCCUAACACAUGCAAGUCGAACGGCAGCACAGUAAGAGCUUGCUCUUACGGGUGGCGAGUGGCGGACGGGUGAGGAAUACAUCGGAAUCUACUUUUUCGUGGGGGAUAACGUAGGGAAACUUACGCUAAUACCGCAUACGACCUACGGGUGAAAGCAGGGGAUCUUCGGACCUUGCGCGAUUGAAUGAGCCGAUGUCGGAUUAGCUAGUUGGCGGGGUAAGGGCCCACCAAGGCGACGAUCCGUAGCUGGUCUGAGAGGAUGAUCAGCCACACUGGAACUGAGACACCGUCCAGACUCCUACGGGAGGCAGCAGUGGGGAAUAUUGGACAAUGGGCGCAAGCCUGAUCCAGCCAUACCGCGUGGGUGAAGAAGGCCUUCGGGUUGUAAAGCCCUUUUGUUGGGAAAGAAAAGCAGCAGGUUAAUACCCCGCUGUUCUGACGGUACCCAAAGAAUAAGCACCGGCUAACUUCGUG
rnacentral:rRNA from 1 species